GUCUGAUCGAGAGUCUUCUUCUGGCUGCCGACGCUCGUCCGUGGUUGUGGAGCGUUUACGUCUUCGCUGUGGGACUCCCGGCCGUCCUCUUCAUCAGCUUCAUGUGGCCGGACAAGAGGUUUGGUCCUCCUGAUCAGCCGUAUUACUACAAGAAAUCUGAUGAAGAACAAGAAGACGAUCCAGAACGUUCUCCUUCGUCGUCUAAACCUGUGCCGGCCAAAGUUAAACCCACAGAAUCUGGAGCCAGGAAACGGGAGGUGCAGAAAAGUCAGAGGAAGUCAGACCUGGACCUGAAGG